rnacentral:rRNA from 1 species
GACGAACGCUGGCGGCGUGCUUAACACAUGCAAGUCGAACGGAAAGGCCCCUUUGGGGGUACUCGAGUGGCGAACGGGUGAGUAACACGUGCGUAACCUGCCCUUGACUUCGGGAUAACUUCAGGAAACUGGGGCUAAUACCGGAUAGGAAUCCUUGCUGCAUGGUGGGGGUUGGAAAGCUUCGGCGGUUUUGGAUGGACUCGCGGCUUAUCAGCUUGUUGGUGGGGGAGUGGCUUACCAAGGCUUUGACGGGUAGCCGGCCUGGGAGGGCGACCGGCCACAUUGGGACUGGGAUACGGCCCAGACUCCUACGGGGGGCAGCAGUGGGGAAUAUUGCACAAUGGGCGGAAGCCUGAUGCAGCAACGCCGGGGGCGGGAUGACGGCCUUCGGGUUGGAAACCGCUUUCAGCAGGGGCGAAGCUUGUGGUGACGGUACCUGCAGAAGAAGCACCGGCUAACUACGUG